rnacentral:misc_RNA from 1 species
GAUGAAGAACGUAGUGAAAUGCGAUAAGUAAUGUGAAUUGCAGAAUUCAGUGAAUCAUCGAGUCUUUGAAUGCACAUUGCGCCCCCUGGUAUUCCGGGGGGCAUGCCUGUCCGAGCGUCAUUGCUGCCCUCAAGCACGGCUUGUGUGUUGGGCCGUCGUCCCCCUCCUAGGGGACGGGCCCGAAAGGCAGCGGCGGCACCGCGUCCGGUCCUCGAGCGUAUGGGGCUUCGUCACCCGCUCCGUAGGCCCGGCCGGCGCUUGCCGACGACCAUCAAUCUCUUUCUCCAGGUUGACCUCGGAUCAGGUAGGGAUACCCGCUGAACUUAAGCAUAUCAAAAGCGGAGGA